AUUGAACGCUGGCGGCAGGCCUAACACAUGCAAGUCGAGCGAGAGGCGGACGGGUGAGUAAUGUAUGGGGACUGCCCGAUAGAGGGGGAUAACUACUGGAAACGGUAGCUAAUACCGCAUACUAUCGGAUAACCCAUAUGGAAUUAGCUAGUAGGUGAGGUAAUGGCUAACCUAGGCGACGAUCCCUAGCUGGUCUGAGAGGAUGAUCAGCAACGCUGGGACUGAGAAACGGCCCAGACGCCUACGGAGGCAGCAGGGGGGAAUAUGGCACAAUGGGCGCAAGCCUGAUGCAGCCAGGCGGCGGGUAUGAAGAAGGCCCUAGGGUUGUAAAGUACUUUCAGUCGGGAGGCGUUACCGACAGAAGAAGCACCGGCUAACUCCGUGCCAGCAGCCGCGGUAAUAC
rnacentral:rRNA from 1 species